GCCUUGAGGAGCAAAAAAUUCCUUCAAAAUCAAAAACUGCUUUGGCUGCCUUCGGGUAAUGUUCGUCUAAAAAUCCUCCUCCAUUCUCUUUCGCAAAAAUUCCUGAAUAACCCCACGGUUGAUUUUCUAAAGGCUGUACGUCUUGGAUCUCAACAACUAAAACAUCACCUGGUUCAGCGCCCUUAAUCUCAAAUGGUCCAGAGAGAUAGUGGAUUCUGGUUAAAUCUACAUUUUUAAUGUCUUCUGCACUAUCGUCAUUCUUAAUCUGUCCACCAGUCCAAUCUAAGCAUUCGAUUUUUACCGUUUCUCCUUCGUCUAUGCUUUCUGCGAAUGGAAUAUCCGGAUGCCACCUGUUAUGUAAGUUUGGUUGCUCCCAUGCAGGUUUAUUUAAAUCAACUUUGACAAUUGUUCUAGGUGCCAUAAUCUGAAGAUCACUUGG